rnacentral:lncRNA from 1 species
CCCACCAGCCAGCCCAUAUAAUCCUUCAUCUGGCAACCCUAGGUUGCCUCUCUCCCCCACCAUUCAGCUGCCGCUGCCCCCGAUUGAGCCGCCGCCGCCUCAGAUUCGCCGUCGCCACCUCAGAAUCGCCGCCGCCGCCGACGAUUUGGACGCUGCCGCCGACGAUUCAGCCUCCGCCGCCCUGGAUUUGGCCUCUGCCGCCCUGGAUUUGGCCUCCGCCGCUCCCGAUUCAGCGCUGCCACCCUGAAACAACGCCGCCCCUUUCCCUUCUGUAGAACCCUAAAUCUCAUUUUGGGAGUAUAGUAUUUUUUUCAAAAAUCUUGAAUUAGAAUUUUUUUUCCAUAACAUUUGAAGUUACAUCUCAUAAAAUAAAAGUUCUAUAGUAAAGGUUCAAUAAAAAGAUUCUUCUAUAAAUAAUUCUUUGUUGAAGUUGAUAAGUAUUAUAAGGAUAAAAAUUAGAGCUUCGUUUAAUCGAGAUUAUACAAUCAAAAAUAUUGUUCAUAAAACAAUUAGGUGGAGUAUCAUAUCCAAAAGUAUGUACUUAUAAACAAAUAAAUAAAUAAUAAAUAAAUAUAUACUUUGCGUUAUGUUGGAGUUUUUUUGUGUUGUGCAUUUAACUGUAAAGUGAAUUUCCAGAACCCUGGUUGAAUUUGAACUUGGAAUCAAAAUUUGAAAACUAUAAAACAAAACUGAAAUUUAAAAGAAAAGAGAAUUGCAGUGAUCGUUGGUGGGCCGAAACCCCCAGCCCUGGGCCAUCCUUCUGCCUCUCCACUCGCUUGCCCAUUCUACCUCAGCCAUGCGCUGACGACUAGGGCCGGGUCGUCAGCCUAACCAGCCGUACCGUGAUUUCCCCGCCACGUGGGUCCCGUUCGUCAGAUCGUCCUCUUCCUGUAACAAACUUGCGCGGUGUUCCGUAACCAAUCCCCGCAAGCUCCUCUCCUUGGUUGUCCCCUACCUCGUGGUCGGACCGCCGCUGCCGAUGCCGCGAUUCACGCGCUGAACCAGCGUUCCGUUGCCGUUUUCCCUGGAUCGAUGGCUAGUAUUUAUAAAAGCCGGAGGUCGGGUUCCCUUUCCCCAUCUAUCCUCUGGAAGCAAGCUUCUGUCGACACCGUGGGAGCGGGUUAGAGUGCGGUGCGGAGGAGAGAGGCCUGCCGCAUCCUGGGCUCGCCGGUGCUGCCCUUCUACACCAGUGGGGUGGUUCUGGGGCUUCGCAAGCACGCGGGGAAGCUUUGCCUGGUUCGUGCGCAUCGGGGUUGUGGCCGGAGCCUGGGUAAUUUCUCGACGGAAUUUCGGCCUCCAUGGUGUUGCCACCGAGCACCGCAGAUUGGACACGUGAUCGCAUAACAGAAGGUAAAUAACCAAUUGAAUCACUUCCCCAUGUCCUUUCAAUCGUAUUUACGCAAAUUGGGGCGGAAACCAGGCAACGGGGGCACCGGUGCGUCGUGCUCCGGCGGGAUUCCGCCGUGCAGACUGGGCGGCGCCGCCGCGCUCUGGCGUCGGGCGGGGAAGACGCCUCGUCACCGUCAGAUCACUUGUGGGCGGUUGAGAUUAGAUCGACCCAUACCCCUUCACUCGAUUAAAUCUGUGUCGUCGGUUGCAGGCUUUGCGGUCGAGAUUGGGUUACGGCGUGGAUGCCUCACGACCAUCAGAUCUUAAUCUAGCGGCUGUCGUUGGAUACUGAGUUAGGUUUUAUAAAAAAAUCUAAUCGCAGCCGUCAGAUAGAGAUCCAACGGCCCAAAUAGCCCGAUACCCCUUUGCCCUGGCCUAUUUGCUAAAGAGACCCCGUAAUCUUUACAAAUUAACCCGCCGUCCGUGGGCGAUGAUCAUUGAGUCUAGGGAAUUGUUACAGAUUGGACCCUGAGUUUUGUAUUAUUUGGUGCCCAGUCCAGAACACUUAGGAUAUUCAGGAAUUAAUAAAGAAAUAGGUUUUUAGUAUGAAAAUAAUUCCAUAAACUUGCAUAAUUCAUAGUUAAUUCAUUUUAACUCCAAAUUGAGUCAUUUCAGUUGCAAUAAUUUUGUAUUAAUGUUGUUUACCACCUCGUACCUUUGUUUAACCAUGAAACUUGAAUUAAAAUUUGCGCAAUUGAAUUAAUCUAUUCUAGGUGCUAAGUAAUUUCGAAAAUUCAUAACUUAAUAACCGUAGCUCCGAAUUUAGUGGUUCUUGUUUCUACGAUCUCGUUAUGGCGCGUAGAUUAUUAUCACAUAGUUUAUUCUUAUGUUUGGUGUAAUGUUAAUUUUUGCCUAUACCAUGUUUGUCUGUAUUGAUACGUUUAGCAGUGAGGACACGCGUCAUCUGAAGAGCAAGUUGGUACCUGGAAUCUCAAGUGCCAGGCAAGUUGUGCCCUUGAUCACUUCUUUUUACCCACUCAUGUUCUAAUUAAUCAUAAUGAUCUGCAUAGGUUAAUUUUGAUGGGACCCAAUAGGUUACCCUAGUUUGUCUAUCUUUAUACCUUGUUUACCACUGAACUUUUUGGGUAGUACUUGCUAGUGCUUUAUGUGGUUUUGGGUAUGAAGAUACAUUAUUCAUGAUUACACUUUUAUUAUCUGUUUAUUAUCACUGUUCAUGGUAAGAUCAUUAUGUUAAUUGGAACAUGGAGCGACCACCCGGGAAAACAGUGCUACCACAAGGGUUUAUGGACGCCCUUGGCUGAUUAAUUAGGAAAGCUAGUGGAAGACUACCUUACCCGAAAGGGGCAAGGGCAGUAGGGGAGUGGUCAGUGUAGGGAGGUCCUUGGUUGAUUUUGCUGCGAUGGCGGUCAGGCAAGAACCCUGCAUUGGAGCUUCCUAUAAACUGUAGCGGGUUUUCUGAAGCUAGUGGAACUUUGUAAAGGCCUCGUAGUGUUACCCUGCCUCGCCUCCUCGGUAGAGGUGUAUGGGAAGUCGCGAUCCCUUGGCAGAUGGGUAACAUGACUUGUGGGUAAAGAUGCGCAACCUCUGCAGAGUGUAAAACUGGUAUACUAGCCGAGCUCACGGUCAUGAGCAGCUCAGGACUCUCUGAUGAUUAAUUUAUGGAACUUAAAUUCAAUUUGUCAUAUGCAUUGCAUCGCAGGUGAUGUUGUUACUUCUGUUCUACUACUUAAUUGGGUUGGUAUUUACUUAUACUUAGUAAUUGCUAAUAAAAUUUUGACCAACUUUAAAAGCAAUGCUCAGCUUCAACCAUCUCCGUUGGUAAGCCUUACACUUCACGUGAGCUCCCACCUUUGGCGAGUUCAUGCACAUUAUUCCCCACAACUUGUUGAGCGAUGAACGUAUGUGAGCUCACUCUUGCUGUCUCACACCCCCCCCACAGGUCAAGAACAGGUACCACAGGACGAGGCGCAAGGAGGAUGCUGCGAUAAGUUCGUGAGAGAUCUAGGUCGUCGUCUCCCAGUCAACUUUGGGUUGCUGGACCGUUGUCUCCUUAUAUGUAAUUAUUUAUUUUGUAUAGAACUCCUAUUAUAUAGUAAAGUUGUGACAUUCGAUCCUUUGCCAUGAUUCAUCAUAUGUGUGAGACUUGGUCCCAGCACACCUGAUGAUUAUGUUCGCCCCGGGUCUUGGUGCCCCCGAAAUCCGGGUGUGACAGAAGUGGUAUCAGAGGAAUGUUGACUGUAGGACGAAACCUAGAUAGAGAUGAACAUAACCAUUACCUACUUACCUUACUCUGAUUCUUUCUAUACUUAUCUUGAUCAUGUUUCACCUUCUACUAGUCUACUCUGAUUAGCCUUACCUUUGCCACUCUGAUUCUUUUCUAAACUUUUCUUAAUCUUUUCUCAUCUAUUUCCGCUUUACUCUGAUUAUUUUUACCUUUUCUUUCUAAAGACAAAUGUGGAUUUCACACUCUGAAAUCCUGUACCUAAAGUGACCUUUAGGAAUAGGAGACCUACACUUAGGAACAAAAUCAAAACUAUUUUUGUCAAUAUUUGUAUGAUUGAAUGUUUGUUCUUAUGAUACUUGUUUGAUUUGGAUCUUUGAUUGAGUGUGAUGAGUUGUGGAGUAAUGUCCACAAUUACAUUUACAUAUACGUAUAGACAUAAAUAUAAAUAAAUAAAUCAUAAGAUGACUAUACAAACUAAGAAUGUUCCCCAUUAAAAGUAUAUCUAACCUAAUAGCUCCAUCUUGUCUUGAAAGAUUCUUUCUUAUCUUAAUAGACUCAUCUUAUCUUGAAAAGAUUCUAUCUUAUCCUAAUAGAUCUAACUGACCUCAAAAGAUUCUACCUUGUCCUUAUGGAUUCAUCUUGCCCUAAUAAGCAUAUUUAUCCCACACUAGUGUAACCACCAUGAGCUAAUCCAAAAUUUAUUUAGAUCUUAACUAAUCUAAUCUAGUCAUAUCCAACCUAAUCUACAUUUUAUCUAAUCUAUUAUGAUCUAAUCUAGAGUAAAUUACUUAAUGCUGGUACAAAAGAUAAGGCCAUACCCCUCAUGCACUAAAAAAACUAGUGCCUUAAACCAACUCAGCCACAUACAUGAGAUCUGAUCCAACCAAAAGAGUCAUGAAGAAUUGCAUAAUCUGUCUAUCCCCACCUAACAUCAAACAAACUUUGACCUACAUCAUGUAGUCCAUCUCACCCAUAACUAUUUCAACCAUAUGUCCCAACUCUGAUGAUAUACCCUGACCCCGACUCAAUGAGACCAAGACUGGAAAAGGAAAAGAUCAACCCCGUCAAGAAGAAGAGCUGGUUGAAGAUGAAGUAGUCGGUGAAGAAGUCAACGAACAACAAGAAUAGAGAUAAACAUAAACAUAGAUACAUAUAUACAUAUUUUACUAUUUGUAAGACCUAAAUAUUAGUUUAGCUAGUAGUAGUAUUUUACUAUUUUAGUAAUAAUAAUAAGGUCUAAUUGACCCAUGUGUUGCUAAUAAAGUAUGCAUCAUGCUGAUAUUUUUGUGUGUGCAUAUGUUCUGAGAUGACAUAGUUAUACACCUUUUCUUACAAAUCUCGAGGACGAGAUUUCUGUUAAGGGGGGUAGGAUUUGUAGAACCCUAAAUCUCAUUUUGGGAGUAUAGUAUUUUUUUUUCAAAAAUCUUGAAUUAGAAUUUUUUUCCAUAACAUUUGAAGUUACAUCUCAUAAAAUAAAAGUUCUAUAGUAAAGGUUCAAUAAAAAGAUUCUUCUAUAAAUAAUUCUUUGUUGAAGUUGAUAAGUAUUAUAAGGAUAAAAAUUAGAGCUUCGUUUAAUCGAGAUUAUACAAUCAAAAAUAUUGUUCAUAAAACAAUUAGGUGGAGUAUCAUAUCCAAAAGUAUGUACUUAUAAACAAAUAAAUAAAUAAUAAAUAAAUAUAUACUUUGCGUUAUGUUGGAGUUUUUUUGUGUUGUGCAUUUAACUGUAAAGUGAAUUUCCAGAACCCUGGUUGAAUUUGAACUUGGAAUCAAAAUUUGAAAACUAGAAAACAAAACUGAAAAUUAAAAGAAAAGAGAAUUGCAGUGAUCGUUGGUGGGCCGAAACCCCCAGCCCUGGGCCAUCCUUCUGCCUCUCCACUCGCUUGCCCAUUCUACCUCAGCCAUGCGCUGACGACUAGGGCCGCCUAACCAGCCGUACCGUGAUUUCCCCGCCACGUGGGUCCCAUUCGUCAGAUCGUCCUCUUCCUGUAACAAACUUGCGCGGUGUUCCGUAACCAAUCCCCGCGAGCUCCUCUCCUUGGUCGUCCCCUACCUCGUGGCCGGACCGCCGCUGCCGAUGCCGCGGUUCACGCGCUGAACCAGCGUUCCGUUGCCGUUUUCCCUGGACCGAUGGCUAGUAUUUAUAAAAGUCGGAGGUCGGGUUCCCUUUCCCCAUCUAUCCUCUGGAAGCAAGCUUCUGUCGACACCGUGGGAGCGGGUUAGAGUGCGGUGCGGGGGAGAGAGGCCCGCCGCAUCCUGGGCUCGUCGGUGCUGCCCUUCUACACCAGUGGGGUGGUUCUGGGGCUUCGCAAGCACGCGGGGAAGCUUUGCCUGGUUCGUGCGCAUCGGGGUUGUGGCCGGAGCCUGGGUAAUUUCUCGACGGAAUUUCGGCCUCCGUGGUGUUGCCACCGAGCACCGCAGCUUGGACACGUGAUCGCAUAACAGAAGGUAAAUAACCAAUUGAAUCACUUCCCCAUGUCCUUUCAAUCGUAUUUACGCAAAUUGGUGCGGAAACCAGGCAACGGGGGCACCGGUGCGUCGUGCUCCGGCGGGAUUCCGCCGUGCAAACUGGGCGGCGCCGCCGCGCUCUGGCGUCGGGCGGGGAAGACGCCUCGUCACCGUCAGAUCACUUGUGGGCGGUUGAGAUUAGAUCGACCCAUACCCCUUCACUCGAUUAAAUCUGUGCCGUCGGUUGCAGGCUUUGCGGUCGAGAUUGGGUUACGGCGUGGAUGCCUCACGACCAUCAGAUCUUAAUCUAGCGGCUGUCGUUGGAUACUGAGUUAGGUUUUAUAAAAAAAUCUAAUCGCAACCGUCAGAUAGAGAUCCAACGGCCCAAAUAGCCCGAUACCCCUUCGCCCUGGCCUAUUUGCUAAAGAGACCCCGUAAUCUUUACAAAUUAACCCGCCGUCUGUGGGCGAUGAUCAUUGAGUCUAGGGAAUUGUUACAGAUUGGACCCUGAGUUUUGUAUUAUUUGGUGCCCAGUCCAGAACACUUAGGAUAUUCAGGAAUUAAUAAAGAAAUAGGUUUUUAGUAUGAAAAUAAUUCCAUAAACUUGCAUAAUUCAUAGUUAAUUCAUUUUAACUCCAAAUUGAGUCAUUUCAGUUGCAAUAAUUUUGUAUUAAUGUUGUUUACCACCUCGUACCUUUGUUUAACCAUGAAACUUGAAUUAAAACUUGCGCAAUUGAAUUAAUCUAUUCUAGGUGCUAAGUAAUUUCGAAAAUUCAUAACUUAAUAACCGUAGCUCCGAAUUUAGUGGUUCUUGUUUCUACGAUCUCGUUAUGGCGCGUAGAUUAUUAUCACAUAGUUUAUUCUUAUGUUUGGUGUAAUGUUAAUUUUUGCCUAUACCAUGUUUGUCUGUAUUGAUACGUUUAGCAGUGAGGACACGCGUCAUCUGAAGAGCAAGUUGGUACCUGGAAUCUCAAGUGCCAGGCAAGUUGUGCCCUUGAUCACUUCUUUUUACCCACUCAUGUUCUAAUUAAUCAUAAUGAUCUGCAUAGGUUAAUUUUGAUGGGACCCAAUAGGUUACCCUAGUUUGUCUAUCUUUAUACCUUGUUUACCACUGAACUUUUUGGGUAGUACUUGCUAGUGCUUUAUGUGGUUUUGGGUAUGAAGAUACAUUAUUCAUGAUUACACUUUUAUUAUCUGUUUAUUAUCACUGUUCAUGGUAAGAUCAUUAUGUUAAUUGGAACAUGGAGCGACCACCCGGGAAAACAGUGCUACCACAAGGGUUUAUGGACGCCCUUGGCUGAUUAAUUAGGAAAGCUAGUGGAAGACUACCUUACCCGAAAGGGGCAAGGGCAGUAGGGGAGUGGUCAGUGUAGGGAGGUCCUUGGUUGAUUUUGCUGCGAUGGCGGUCAGGCAAGAACCCUGCAUUGGAGCUUCCUAUAAACUGUAGCGGGUUUUCUGAAGCUAGUGGAACUUUGUAAAGGCCUCGUAGUGUUACCCUGCCUCGCCUCCUCGGUAGAGGUGUAUGGGAAAUUGGGAAGUCACGAUCCCUUGGCAGAUGGGUAACAUGACUUGUGGGUAAAGAUGUGCAACCUCUGCAGAGUGUAAAACUGGUAUACUAGCCGAGCUCACGGUCAUGAGCAGCUCAGGACUCUCUGAUGAUUAAUUUAUGGAACUUAAAUUCAAUUUGUCAUAUGCAUUGCAUCGCAGGUGAUAUUGUUACUUCUGUUCUACUACUUAAUUGGGUUGGUAUUUACUUAUACUUAGUAAUUGCUAAUAAAAUUUUGACCAACUUUAAAAGCAAUGCUCAGCUUCAACCAUCUCCGUUGGUAAGCCUUACACUUCACAUGAGCUCCCACCUUUGGCGAGUUCAUGCACAUUAUUCCCCACAACUUGUUGAGCGAUGAACGUAUGUGAGCUCACUCUUGCUGUCUCACACCCCCCCACACAGGUCAAGAACAGGUACCACAGGAUGAGGCGCAAGGAGGAUGCUGCGAUAAGUUCGUGAGAGAUCUAGGUCGUCGUCUCCCAGUCAACUUUGGGUUGCUGGACCGUUGUCUCCUUAUAUGUAAUUAUUUAUUUUGUAUAGAACUCCUAUUAUAUAGUAAAGUUGUGACAUUCGAUCGUGUGUCAUGAUUCAUCAUAUGUGUGAGACUUGGUCCCAGCACACCUGGUGAUUAUGUUCGCCCCGGGUCUUGGUGCCCCCGAAAUCCGGGUGUGACACCUUCCCCUAUGCCCUAUGCCCUCUUGCUGCUUCUCACCUAGGCGACGGGGACGCCUUGGAUCCUUCGGGCGCCUGGACGCCUAGGCGUCGCCUAGGCGACGCCUUUAAAACAAGGGCAAUGAUAUUAUCUCCUGCUGCUACUAACUAGCAGACAAUUGCUUGGAUCCUUGGGAUGAAAAUGGAUGUGAACCGGCAUAAAGUAUGGUAAGCU